rnacentral:rRNA from 2 species
CCUAUGGGGGGCAGCAGGCGCGAAAACUUUACAAUGCGGGAAACCGUGAUAAGGGAACUCCGAGUGUCCGUAAAUUCGGACUGUCCGUAUGUUUAAAAAGCAUACGAAGAAAGGGCCGGGCAAGACCGGUGCCAGCCGCCGCGGUAAUACCGGCGGCUCGAGUGGUGGCCACUAUUACUGGGCUUAAAGCGUUCGUAGCUUGGUUGUUAAGUCUCUUGGGAAAUCUAUCGGCUUAACCGAUAGGCGUCCAGGGGAUACUGGCAAUCUAGGGACCGGGAGAGGUGAGGGGUACUUCAGGGGUAGGAGUGAAAUCCUGUAAUCCUUGGGGGACCACCUGUGGCGAAGGCGCCUCACCAGAACGGCUCCGACAGUGAGGGACGAAAGCUGGGGGAGCAAACCGGAUUAGAUACCCCCGUAGUCC